AGAGUUUGAUCAUGGCUCAGAAUGAACGUUGGCGGCGUGGAUUAGGCAUGCAAGUCGAACGCUCCGCAAGGGGCGUGGCGCAAGGGUGAGUAAGGUGACGGCAACCAACCCCACGGCCGGGCAUAGCCCAGGGAAACCUGGGGUAAUUCCCGGCGCCGCACGCGGGAGGCAUCUUCCGGGUGCGAAAGGUGAGACUCCGC
rnacentral:rRNA from 1 species